rnacentral:lncRNA from 1 species
GAGGUGGCUUCCGGCCGCCAGGCGAGACUCCGCGGGAAAACUCCCUGCUAGAGAGACUAGGAGAUUUGGGGCUGCGGCCGUUUCCUCCGGAGCACCCACGGGACUGUGUGCUGGGGUCCCUCCACCGGCUGUGUCCUUUAUUCUUCUUUCUCACCCAACGAUUUACCUGAACGGUUAUAAAGUGCACGUUAUUUCCCUAAGGUCCUUCUUACUGAUGUGUUGCUCUUCUUCAUGGCUCGUGAAAACUAUUAGAGUCAUCCAAGGUUUGGAGACAGAAAGGAGCACCGCCAAGUGAGGCAGAGCAGUCUCAGAAACAUAGGAAAAUGGUGGGAAGAGAGAUCAGCAACGUUAACUGGGUGUCAAGAAAACAUACCGAGAUUGAAGCCAUCCACUUCUGCAGGAACACCGAAAAGAAAGCUUACAAUCUGAAGGUGUCCGUUCCUACACUGGUCAGACCACUGUCCUUGGGGCAGCUGGGGUCUUUGGGACCCUCCACCGGGCUCGCCGGUCCGUCGGACUUUUGGCUGAGAUCCGUGUCAGACUCCUCCGAAUAGUCGUCUGUUGGCAUCGAGGGCUGAACCCCUGAGGUGCUGCAUGAACUUGAGGUAACCGUUGAAGAUGAGGAGAGAGGAGGAAAAGAAGGGGGCUUCGCUGCCGAAGCCCGGGAGACCACUUGCGGCCAAGACUUCCUGGAGGCGUGGGGGGAAGCGGAGGAGGGGGCGGCGGCCGACGGGGGAGGGGGGCUGUCGUUUGAGUGAGCGGCAGACUGCGAGGUAGAUGCGGUGCUAGGAUCGGGGAAGCAGGCAGAGUGAGGUAAUAAACUAGGGUGCUCUUUGGCGUUU